rnacentral:rRNA from 1 species
UCAGGCCUAACACAUGCAAGUCAAACGACAAAUUUUUUUGUAGUGGCGGACGGGUGAGUAACACGUAAGAACCUGCCUUUAGGAGGGGGAUACCAUCUGGGAAACUGGUGCUAAUACCCCAUAUGCUGAGAAGUGAAAAGGUAUUUAACCGCCUAGAGAGGGGCUUGCGGCUGAUUAGCUAGUUGGUAGGGUAAUGGCCUCCCAAGGCGACGAUCAGUAGCUGGUUUGAGAGGAUGAUCAGCCACACUGGGACUGAGACACGGCCCAGACUCCUACGGGAGGCAGCAGUGAGGAAUUUUCCGCAAUGGGCGAAAGCCUGACGGAGCAAUACCGCGUGGAGGAAAAAAGGAGACCUGUGGGUUGUAAACUCCUUUCUCAGAGAAGAAU